rnacentral:lncRNA from 1 species
GAUGUGUAAGCAAUACCAUUAUAAAUAGGAAGGUACCCUACAUCUGUAGUAGUACAAUUUUCAAUUCACUGUACAUUCUUCUUCCCUUCCCCAAAAUCCUAAUUUUCUCCCUCUUCUCUUUUCUCACUAAAAUUAUCUCCUCUCUUCAAAAAUUUGUGUGACGGAAUCGUCUUGCAAUGAAGGUGUGGUUGAAUCACUCGAAUGAAGAAUGAGAAACGAAUAAUGAGGAACGAGAGUAUUGAAUCAAUCGAGAAAACGAUUC